GCGCCAGGCGACUGGGUCUGAGGAGGCAGGAGUUAUUCAUUCCCUUAAGCUUUCAGGCCGGGGGGAGAAUCUUUCAGGUGGUAGCUGCAAGAACUCUUAGUAUGUUGACCUCACCUCUGCCUUCCACAUACCACUACCAGUGAGGAAUUAGGAAUGCAUGAGAAGAGUGUCCAAGAAGAGUGUCCUCAUUCAUGCAAGGCUUAAGAGAGAAUGCAGGUCAACAUCACCAUGUCAAUCAGAGUCCUGUGGCUUCUCUGAGACUUUGGUUCGGUUUGGGAGAAAACGUUCCUUGGAAUGCCAGUAAGAGAACUGCAGAAUACUUCUGUUGGGUUGAAUGACUCUCUGCCCCCAGGUUGAAGUUGGAGACCAAAUCGUGUACCUCGCUCUCCUGGCACAGGUGCAGAUGCUGAGAGCACUUUCUAGUCAAGUCCUGCAUGUUCAUUUCUGUCUCAAGUCAGCUUCUCUGAGAAUCCAAUUUAUAAAAAUAUAUUUGUGAAUGUAUAAGUAAAGUGACUUGGAUUUUGUCUACGUACAAGGACUUCUAUGCCUGCAUAAAACAGCUUUCAGAGUGACUAACCAUACCAGUUUGACCAAGACUGUAUUGGCUGCAGCACUUAAAAGCUCACAUCCCGGAAAUCCUUUGGUCCUCGGUGAAUUGGGAUGGUUGGUUACCCUAUUACUGAUGAUUGUAAUUCUCAGCGUAGUUUGGAACCAGCAGCAGCAGCAGCUCCCCAGACCUACUGAAUCAGAAUCUACAUUUUGAUAAGAGCCCAGGGUGACUCCAUGUACGUGAAAAAGUUUGAGAAGUCCUUAGACCUACAGUUCACAGCUUCUCCUUCUUUCUUAUUCAACUGAAUUGCAGUGGGACCUGAGUAUGGUUAAAAUAAAUGAAUAAAAACACAAA
ensembl:lncRNA LINC01524 long intergenic non-protein coding RNA 1524